UACGUAGGGGGCAAGCGUUUUCCGGAAUCAUAGGGCGUAAAGCGCGUGUAGGCGGCUCGUUAAGUCUGCUGUGAAAGUCCAGGGCUCAACCCUGGAAAGCCGGUGGAAACUAGCCGGCUAGAGUCCGGAAGAGGCGAGUGGAAUUCCUGGUGUAGCGGUGAACUGCGCAGAAAUCAGGAGGAACACCAAUGGCGAAGGCAGCUCGGUGGAACGGUAGUGAUGCUGAGACGCGAAAGGGUGGGGAGGAAACAGA
rnacentral:rRNA from 1 species